rnacentral:piRNA from 1 species
UGACUGACACGACUUUAACUCCAGAA